UUCGCAAUGCCCGAAAGGGUGACGAAGCGACGCCGCGUGUGGGAAGAAGGCCUUCGGGUUGUAAACCACUGUCGGGAGUUAAGAAAUGCAAGGAUAUUAAUAGUGUCUUUGUUUGACUAAGGCUCCGGAGGAAGCCACGGCUAACUCUGUGCCAGCAGCCGCGGUAAUACAGAGGCGGCAAGCGUUGUUCGGAAUUAUUGGGCGUAAAGAGCACGUAGGCGGCUCUGCAAGUCAGCUGUGAAAGCCUUCCGCUUAACGGAAGAAGUGCAGUUGAAACUACAGGGCUGGAGUGCGGAAGGGGAGAGUGGAACUUCUGGUGGAGCGGUGAAAUGCGUAGAUAUCAGAAGGAACGCCGGCGGCGAAAGCGGCUCUCUGGCCCAUAACUGACGCUGAGUGUGCGAAAGCUAGGGGAGCAAACGGGAUUAGAUACCCCGGUAGUCCUAGCCGUAAACGAUGGGCACUAAGUAGAGGGGUUUU
rnacentral:rRNA from 1 species